UACGGAGGGUGCAAGCGUUGCUCGGAAUUAUUGGGCGUAAAGGGCGCGUAGGCGGUGCCGUACGUCCGUUGUGAAAUCGCUCGGCUCAACUGGGCGGGGUCAGCGGAUACGGUGGCACUUGAGCAAGCUAGGGGGCAAUGGAAUUCCCGGUGUAGUGGUGGAAUGCGUAGAUAUCGGGAGGAACACCAGUGGCGAAGGCGGUUGCCUGGGGCUUUGCUGACGCUGAUGCGCGAAAGCGUGGGGAGCGAUCCGG
rnacentral:rRNA from 1 species